GGUGGAUGUAAAGCAUCUCACACUGGUACACAGUAGUCAUUUCCAACUCUGGCCGCUAUGCUAAUCCUCCACUGACACAAAUGCACAGACACACACUUAAAGACACAAACACUGUCCAGAGCCAUGUGACCAGCUGACGCAAUAAAUCCAAAGCUUUAUAAACCACCUUUAGAGAGUGCUCUCCCUUUAGGGACAUCAUUACAGAGCAGGUGUGUGUUUGUGCAACUGAGGGAGGGAAACAGGCGAGUGUGUCUUGGCACAGGGGAGAGCUGUUGCUGCUGCCUUACUUAGUUUAGUGGAUAAGGAAGAGGCCAGAGAGACACAAUAACAAAGGGGAAAAGGGGACUUGGAGUCACAAAGUUGCCUAUCAGACACUCCUGAGGGCUGAGGAGCACUGGAUGAAAACAACUAUGUUUUUCCGCAUCCCAAGACUUACCCCUGGAUACAUUAGAUACCUUCAGGUAUGUAAGAUGCUUUCAAUGCUUUCCUUUUUGGAAUUAAUAAUGAUUAUUUCUGGAGUUAUCCAAGUUCUACGAGUGCUCUUUCGAAUCAACACCUGUUGAGAUGCACAAACCCUGCAGUUUCUGUAAAAAGGUUAAGUUAAAUAAACCAGGACAUACCAGAACCUGGACUGAUUAUCCUGUUUGUUUACUGAUAAAAGCAACAGUGAGCAACAGCUCUGAUCUUUAUGCUAAUAACCAUAAAUUAGAUAAAACAACAAAAUUAUCUAGUGUGAAUGAUGUAAAGGGAUUUGACUUUUAAUUAGCAAAUCCAAUUUCUAUUUCACCAUACCCCUUUUGUAUACAUUCAAUUUAUCAACUCUGCAUACCUAAAGAAAUCCGCUUUGAACGGCAUCUUCACUUCACUUCACCGCUGUGAAAACUCAAUCUGAACUGACAAUACUGACUCACCAAUGUACACAAAGUGCCCAUAUGUGUGUGUCAUGGUAGGAUUUAAAGCAGAAGAUUACUGUGGCCUAACUUUGAAUGGAUUUGAAUCAGGGAUACCUUAGCUAACCAGGGUCAGCCUUUUAAUUGGAUCAGGGGAAAAGCAUGAGAUUGAGGCUUCAAAUCACUCUGGGAGAUCAUUUAAUGACAUGCAUCUGGAUUUAGCAGCCUGUCAAGUGGAUCGUGUACGUUUUAAAAAUGGACAGUGUUAAGCCCAAUUAUCUUGGCCUCAGCUCAUCAGAUUGGGUGUUGAAUAAUAACAGAGAGCAUGGUUACACAAAUGACCUGUUUUGUAUUUUCUCCAUCUGUCUGUGAAGAUCAUGUAACUCAAAAAUGUCAUCUUUUAAAAAUGCAUUUUCUCAGGAAAAUAUAAUGAUAUGACGGUUAGCCUGUGUUAUUUACCUUCAGACCAAAAAGAAUGGAUGAUUUCUAAAUCUGCUUUAUUUUUGAGAGACCCCCCUCAGACAAAAUAAUUAGUUGAUUGAACCAAUGGGGAACCUUUCCAAAUGGAAAUCUAUAAGGGCUCCACCAGCAUUGGUCAUUUUUUUUUUUAAAGACCUCAGAGCACCAAAGCCAAGGUCACUCACUCUGCUUUGUUUAUUAUGUUUAUAUCUGAUGGCAGUCGUUGAAUGUUAGUGUUGACUACGACUCUGUUUUUCAGACCCAGGCAGCUCAGACUGUGCUGCAGAGCCGUGAGGCCCCAGUGAUGCAGCGCAUGGCCAUGCUGAUGGGCCUCAUGGGGGUCGGCAUGUCAGGCUACAGCUCACACCAGCUUACACUGCACUGCAAGCCUGCAAGCCACCUCUUGAGAUGAGACAGAGGAAUGGAGGAUGCACACACACACACACACACACACACACACACACACACACACACACACACACACACACACACACACACACACACACACACACACACACACACACUUAAUCUGACAUUUUGGGAAAUGAGCUUACGAGGGCUACUUUGUAUUGGCAGUGGUCACCCGGCAACCAUUGGAGACUAUGGAUGUUAGUCCUCUAAAAGAUAAAUCAAAACCCCCCACAGAACAAAGAAAGCUUGACUCUACACUUUCUUUAUUAAACAAAAAAAUGGCAAUUUUUAUAAAAUACUGAACUUUGGCAGUGCUAGAAAGCAAUUUCAUGUCAUUACAGUUCCAGGCUUGUGUUUUCAGUGUUCAGGCCAAGCUAGGCUAACUCGCUGUUAGCUAUAGAAACAAAAUACUUCCUCUAUUAUCUGUUAAAAAGCAAAAUAAACUUAUUUCUAAAAAUGUCCUUGCACAAAAUAGUAACAAAAUAAUGAGAGAGGUGUCGCUGCCAGGCUCUCUGUUCAUCUGUUUUUGUUUUUCUCUGUGUGUUUUUAGUAAUGAUCCCUUCUUUGUGGUUUUAGUUUCAUGUUAUCCUUGUUCUGGAUUUGUUAAAGGUGGAUAUUCAUUUGUUUGAAAUGAAAAGAACAUUCACAUGUACAAAACUACCUCUGAUUUGAAGGGCAGUGCAGUAUUUAUUUUUGUAGAUGACAUUCAGUGAGACAGAAAGGUAGCUUUUGGGACUUUUGAUGAACAUGGUUAAUCUGAAACUUUCACCACAAUCUCCCACCCAUAUCCUGUGCCUUAUCAUGGGAGUUAGACUUAAGUAUCCAAAUUAUUUUUUAAACAUACCAAUGGUCUUAAAAGAUAUAAGUUUCUAAAUGAAGCUUAAGCUGAGCUCGUAGAAAUCUUCUUAUAAAAUUUCCGGUCUUUCAAACAACAUUGCUUGUCCUCUGGCAUUUUGGUAUUUUCCAUGAUGUAACACAGAGCAUUCAGCCAGGGUGGAGAUGCCCUGGUCCAUUUGCUCUUUUUAAAGAGAUAGAGAGUGAUAUCAGAAGCAACUUUAACUUAGAGACUUAAGGCAUUUUUAUUACAGUGUCUCUUGAUUCUGGAGUUGACAGUGUGAUUUUUGACAUUUGUGCCACCUCUCUCACUUUAAAAUAUCAAAGGAACAAAUAGGCCAAAAACUGCUCUCAACCCCUCAAAAACACACAGAGAAAAUACUCAAACAGAAACAUAGGAAAUGUCUGAGUUUAUGAUGUGUGACCAAUGCUACCUUGCACUUUUUGUGAAAAUAUCAUGUACAUAAAGAUGCUUAUUAAUGUUAAUGCUGAAUGAGAUUUGUAAAACAACAGUGGAUGCUACCAGCUUUUGUUGUGAGCUGGGCUGGGUGAGGUCUAGCUGGAUUGACACACAGGAUAUGCUGUGUUGUUGUGAGGCAAAGGGAUCAGGUCAGCCACCCUGGAUACCACCUCAGAUAAUAUGUGAUUCCACUUGGAUCUCUCCCGGUAACACGCCAUUGUCAGAAAAGUUGAAUGAAUGACCACAAUGGUCUCUUAACAUAGAUAGACGUUUGUGCUCAUUGAUUUGUAAUGCAUAAAAUGUAACUUUAACAUUAUUUUAAAAAAUCACCGACAAAGAAUGAAAUUUAGCGUCAAGUUUUAAUUGUGUCCUGCUAAGAUUUAACAAGAGGCAGGUAGUCCUUACGCUGUAGUUUGAGUAUAGGAGAAAAGAUGAGCCUGUUAACAGGUCGCAAGGUGUGUGCAGUGAUACAGUGAUCCUCUUAACAAACACUCAUCUUUUUUAGACCAGCUUAUACUGCCAUAUGAUGGGGGUCACUGACCCUGAAACCGAGACACGUAACAGCAUGACAGGGCAAAGAGUGUUUAUUUAUGUCAUUUAAGCUCCAACUGGGACUCUUCUUGAACAAGGGAUUUCAAAUGAGUGGAUAGUGUUGUGUGGAUGGUGGUUGUGUGAUUUGAAAACAAAAAGCAUUAUUUAUCAUUUCUUGUUGCUGCAUAGGCAGUUUUAUUUGUUAAGUUUCUGUGAUUUGACAGUUCUGUUCUCACUGUGGUUUUAAAACAUGUGAUGUUUUGAUUUAAUUUAAACUAUUAAAAGCAUGUUAUAAGAGAGUAAAAUCUACCUGUAAGGUUUGUGAUUUCCCAGACUGAAAGUACAUAUAAAUACAGAUCUGUUGAAGGUGUCUGCAGGAAAUUCAUUAUAAGUGUAUUGUUUUUGUUUGGUAUUUGGUGUUUGUUUGGUGUGUUUUGGAUUUUUUUCUUUUUUUUAAAAUUUCUAAUAAGUUGUUUCUUGACUUAAAGAGAAAAGGCUUUUGUCAGUCAAAUCAACAGACAUAUUUUAAUGAGGCUCUUCAUUUGUUCUAACAUUGUCUCAACAGUGAAACAGCCACAAGUAAUAAUAAUGACAAAUCUUUGCUGAGAUUUGUAAACAAUGACAGAGAUAAUGUGAAAGCAUGUAAAUACAGAUGAUUACCCCUGUGGAGAAUGUUAAGCAUCAAAUGUGAAACAAGCACCACUGAAUAUACAUUAUCUUUGCAAUUAUCUCUCUGUAUGCACGAAUAAAAACUUGUAAAGACAUGGUACCAUAUGCUGUUUGUCACCUGUUUAUCUAAAAUAUACCAAAAAAAUAAGUACUCUCAUCAUACACUAGGUGUCAGCAUACAUUUCUUGUUCUCUACUACCCGUGGAGGUGAACCAUUGAGCCAAAGUGUGUAGUAGACCAACUAAAAUGAGCCAACUGACCCCUGCAC